UACGUCGGGGGCAAGCGUUGUCCGGAUUUAUUGGGCGUAAAGAGCGUGUAGGCGGCCAGGUAGGUCUGCUGUGAAAACUCGAGGCUUAACCUCGAGAUGUCGGCGGAAACCAUCUGGCUAGAGUCCGGAAGAGGAGAGUGGAAUUCCUGGUGUAGCGGUGAAAUGCGCAGAUAUCAGGAAGAACACCUAUGGCGAAGGCAGCUCUCUGGGACGGUACUGACGCUGAGACGCGAAAGCGUGGGGAGCGAACAGG
rnacentral:rRNA from 1 species